rnacentral:tRNA from 1 species
GAAUAAGGUCGGAACACCAAGAACUGCUAAUUACUUGUCACCGUGGUUCAACUCCACGGCUUACUCG